UUCCUGUCCAACGUUAAUCGGGGCAGGGUGAGUCGACCCCUAAGGCGAGGCCGAAAGGCGUAGUCGAUGGGAAACGGGUUAAUAUUCCCGUACUUGGUGUUACUGCGAAGGGGGGACGGAGAAGGCUAUGUUGGCCGGGCGACGGUUGUCCCGGUUUAAGCGUGUAGGUGUGUGUUCCAGGUAAAUCCGGUUCACUUUAACACUGAGGCGUGACGACGAGGCACUACGGUGCUGAAGCAACAAAUGCCCUGCUUCCAGGAAAAGCCUCUAAGCAUCAGGUAACAUCAAAUCGUACCCCAAACCGACACAGGUGGUCAGGUAGAGAAUACCAAGGCGCUUGAGAGAACUCGGGUGAAGGAACUAGGCAAAAUGGUGCCGUAACUUCGGGAGAAGGCACGCUGACACGUAGGUGAAGUGAUUUACUCAUGGAGCUGAAGUCAGUCGAAGAUACCAGCUGGCUGCAACUGUUUAUUAAAAACACAGCACUGUGCAAACACGAAAGUGGACGUAUACGGUGUGACGCCUGCCCGGUGCCGGAAGGUUAAUUGAUGGGGUCAGCGCAAGCGAAGCUCCUGAUCGAAGCCCCGGUAAACGGCGGCCGUAACUAUAACGGUCCUAAGGUAGCGAAAUUCCUUGUCGGGUAAGUUCCGACCUGCACGAAUGGCGUAAUGAUGGCCAGGCUGUCUCCACCCGAGACUCAGUGAAAUUGAACUCGCUGUGAAGAUGCAGUGUACCCGCGGCAAGACGGAAAGACCCCGUGAACCUUUACUAUAGCUUGACACUGAACAUUGAGCCUUGAUGUGUAGGAUAGGUGGGAGGCUUUGAAGUGUGGACGCCAGUCUGCAUGGAGCCGACCUUGAAAUACCACCCUUUAAUGUUUGAUGUUCUAACGUGGACCCGUUACCCGGGUUGCGGACAGUGUCUGGUGGGUAGUUUGACUGGGGCGGUCUCCUCCUAAAGAGUAACGGAGGAGCACGAAGGUUGGCUAAUCCUGGUCGGACAUCAGGAGGUUAGUGCAAUGGCAUAAGCCAGCUUGACUGCGAGCGUGACGGCGCGAGCAGGUGCGAAAGCAGGUCAUAGUGAUCCGGUGGUUCUGAAUGGAAGGGCCAUCGCUCAACGGAUAAAAGGUACUCCGGGGAUAACAGGCUGAUACCGCCCAAGAGUUCAUAUCGACGGCGGUGUUUGGCACCUCGAUGUCGGCUCAUCACAUCCUGGGGCUGAAGUAGGUCCCAAGGGUAUGGCUGUUCGCCAUUUAAAGUGGUACGCGAGCUGGGUUUAGAACGUCGUGAGACAGUUCGGUCCCUAUCUGCCGUGGGCGCUGGAGAACUGAGGGGGGCUGCUCCUAGUACGAGAGGACCGGAGUGGACGCAUCACUGGUGUUCGGGUUGUCAUGCCAAUGGCACUGCCCGGUAGCUAAAUGCGGAAGAGAUAAGUGCUGAAAGCAUCUAAGCACGAAACUUGCCCCGAG
rnacentral:rRNA from 1 species